ensembl:lncRNA
CCCUUCCCAUCAAGCCCCGCCCCUUUCAGCUUUCCAAGUCCUCUGCUAUCCCCGGUUGACUCCAGCCUUGACCCUCCCGUGCUGUCUGUCAUAAUUACUCCCCUCUGCCCUUUUAUCCGUAAACUCCACCCCUAGUGACAGACAGCAGGGCCUCAGGGGUUUGAGAGGAUGAAGGGGACCUCUUAGCCACUCCUCCCCUCCCUCCCUCACACACACACACACACACACACACACACACACACACUGUGUAGGCUGCCAGGCAUAUGGCCCCUUUGUACCCACACAAUGGAGACCCUGCCUGUGCCCCUUUCAUCUGGGCACAGCGCUCCUCUCCCUCUUUCACUCACCUUCCUUCCUUCCCAGUGCGGUGCUGGCCUUCUUUGCCUUCUCUUUCUGACUCUUGCUUUCUUAUGUCCUUUCCAUAAGCUCUUGAAAUCUGAUUGAGUGAGGAUUGGAGGCAGGAGAAAGAAGCUGACAGGAAGGUCACAAUCCCUGAAUGCUAGUUUGCCAGAGAGAAGCGGGAAGAGAGCAGAGAGGGAGCUGGGGAGAAGGGAGGUGGUGUGGUGGCCACAGCAGAACCAGCAGCGUUGUGCCGGAGGGGAGAGAAUGCCCUGUGGCCUAGCCCCAUCCUCGACUUUUAUGCUUUGUGCCAUAAUGAGCAAAGCACGUGCCUCCCUGCGCCUCAACUUCCUCCUCUGCAGCAUGUGAAGGUGGAUUCUUUACGGUCUGAGCCACGAGGGAAGCCCUUAUAAAUACACAUAUACAUGCUGUGCUGUGCUUAAGCAUUUAUACG